CAAACUGCUGUAAGUGUUGCCUUAUGCAAACAGACGUGUUUAUUGAAAAUAUAAUCAUUCCAAUUCUUGCUCUAUAAGUGAAGCAUCUAUUCAGAUACAUGGAUUAUGCACUGUAGAGGAUAUGAACAUGCAUCAGACCUGAGUCCGAGUGGGAUUAAUUGCAUAUCCAAACCCUGUGUGGUAUAGUACUACUAAACAUGAGGAAAUAUUUUCGCUUAAUGUUUCGCUUUUUACUUCUUUGCAUGGGUAUUACCGCAUAUUUGCUUAUUGCAACAUUAGUUGAUGUAUCGCUUGAUACUGAAACAAUCAAUCAGAAAGACGACAAUGGACUGGUAGAGAGCAAUGGUGUCACAUUUGCCCGCCAUGGUGUGGCAUUGAGAGAUCAAAACGAACCUGGAUAUAAUGAACCAGGAUUUGCCGGGGAUUGGAAUAACACGAAAGAUAAGGUUCAGCAAAGUGUAGAUCACAUAUCCCUACUGAACCAAAUAAAAGAUAAGGCUCUUGCCAGGAAGGAUGGAGUCCCCACAUGACCUGGAACGUGUUCAGGUACAGUUGCCAAGAGACAAGGAGGUAGACAGUGAGAGACUCCACCAUAAACAAGUCUCGGACACACCAUAUCCACAGUUUGUUAAAACAGCCCCGAAAAUGGUCCGGGAGAAUUUGGUGUGCCUUACAUUCCUAAACUCAACACCACAGAGAAGAAAGUAAUGGACAAAAUGUUCCGUGUGCAUUACUUCAACGUCUACGUCAGUGACAGAAUCUCCGUACACCGACGUCUGCGGGACACGAGGUCACAAGAAUGUAAGGGUCAAACAUUCCGCCCAAACCUGUCCAUGGCGAGCGUCAUCAUUUGCUUCUUCAAAGACGAGGCAUGGUCGGUCUUGCUUCGGACAGUCCACAGUAUCCUGGACAGAUCACCAUCACAUCUGCUGCGGAGAUUAUCCUCGUAGAUGAUUUCUCUUCGUCUGGUGAGACUAUUGACUUCCCUAUGCAUAUAAAAAUCACGAAACUUGUCUUAUCAAGUCACAUCAAUGUUUCUGUAUAGUGACAAUUGACUACUUGACCACACGCCUCUCAUCAACAACACAAUCAAUGACGUCCGUCCUAUAUUGCAGUAAUCAGGAGGCAGUUGUAUCUUGCGAAUAUGCAAUUCAGAAAGAAAGAUAUGUUACUUCACACAACGAUCAGCAAAAUUCCAACACUAUCACGUCACCCUCCAGUA